GGAUUAGAUACCCUGGUAGUCCACGCCGUAAACGAUGUCUACUUGGAGGUUGUGCCCUUGAGGCGUGGCUUCCGGAGCUAACGCGUUAAGUAGACCGCCUGGGGAGUACGGCCGCAAGGUUAAAACUCAAAUGAAUUGACGGGGGCCCGCACAAGCGGUGGAGCAUGUGGUUUAAUUCGAUGCAACGCGAAGAACCUUACCUGGUCUUGACAUCCACAGAACUUUCCAGAGAUGGAYUGGUGCCUUCGGGAACUGUGAGACAGGUGCUGCAUGGCUGUCGUCAGCUCGUGUUGUGAAAUGUUGGGUUAAGUCCCGCAACGAGCGCAACCCUUAUCCUUUGUUGCCAGCGRUYMGGYCGGGAACUCAAAGGAGACUGCCAGUGAUAAACUGGAGGAAGGUGGGGAUGACGUCAAGUCAUCAUGGCCCUUACGACCAGGGCUACACACGUGCUACAAUGGCGCAUACAAAGAGAAGCGACCUCGCGAGAGCAAGCGGACCUCAUAAAGUGCGUCGUAGUCCGGAUUGGAGUCUGCAACUCGACUCCAUGAAGUCGGAAUCGCUAGUAAUCGUGGAUCAGAAUGCCACGG
rnacentral:rRNA from 1 species